rnacentral:rRNA from 1 species
AUUGAACGCUGGCGGCAUGCCUUACACAUGCAAGUCGAACGGUAACGGGCCUUCGGGUGCCGACGAGUGGCGAACGGGUGAGUAAUGCGUCGGAACGUACCUUUCAGUGGGGGAUAACGUAGCGAAAGUUACGCUAAUACCGCAUAUUCUGUGAGCAGGAAAGCAGGGGAUCGCAAGACCUUGCGCUGAUUGAGCGGCCGAUGUCAGAUUAGCUAGUUGGUGAGGUAAAGGCUCACCAAGGCGACGAUCUGUAGCGGGUCUGAGAGGAUGAUCCGCCACACUGGAACUGAGACACGGUCCAGACUCCUACGGGAGGCAGCAGUGGGGAAUUUUGGACAAUGGGGGCAACCCUGAUCCAGCCAUGCCGCGUGAGUGAAGAAGGCCUUCGGGUUGUAAAGCUCUUUCGGCCGGGAAGAAAUCGCAUGGGCUAAUACCCUGUGCGGAUGACGGUACCGGCAUAAGAAGCACCGGCUAACUACGUG